UAGGGGAUCUUCGGCAAUGGACGAAAGUCUGACCGAGCAACGCCGCGUGAGUGAAGAAGGUUUUCGGAUCGUAAAACUCUGUUGUUAGAGAAGAACAAGGACGUUAGUAACUGAACGUCCCCUGACGGUAUCUAACCAGAAAGCCACGGCUAACUACGUGCCAGCAGCCGCGGUAAUACGUAGGUGGCAAGCGUUGUCCGGAUUUAUUGGGCGUAAAGCGAGCGCAGGCGGUUUCUUAAGUCUGAUGUGAAAGCCCCCGGCUCAACCGGGGAGGGUCAUUGGAAACUGGGAGACUUGAGUGCAGAAGAGGAGAGUGGAAUUCCAUGUGUAGCGGUGAGAUGCGUAGAUAUAUGGAGGAACACCAGUGGCGAAGGCGGCUCUCUGGUCUGUAACUGACGCUGAGGCUCGAAAGCGUGGGGAGCAAACAGG
rnacentral:rRNA from 1 species